AAAUCGAUGAUGACACCAAAAAUUACAUUCCUUGGAGCUGACUAAAAUAAGUGAGAACUACAGCCGUCGUCGUUCUCAUCAGAAACUGAGGUCC